CAAUAUAUCCCAACUAAAGUCAAAUCUGUUGGCUAAAUAUCAGAUAUUCUGUCAAUUUUAAAGUAAUUUUAAACUAUUUUCACAUAUAAUAUUUUUGUUUUCUUUUGAUCUGAUCAAGGAACUAAAUCAACCACGGUACUAUUAAAUUCUUUGCGAAUAAAUUCAUUGCCAAAUAAACAAUUAAUUCAGAGUUACAUACUGUAAUCCCAUGUGUCGCAUAAUUUGGAAAACUUGUGUUGUAACCCUGUGUACAUGUUUAUUCUUUCAUAAUUUAGUUGCAGUUCAAUUUAUU